UAGUGAGGGAAUAUUGGUCAAUGGGCGGGAGCCUGAACCAGCCAAGCCGCGUGAGGGAAGAAGGCGCUCAGCGUCGUAAACCUCUUUAGCCGGGGAACAAAGAGCUGCUCGGGAAGCAGCGUUGAGCGUACCCGGAGAAUAAGCAUCGGCUAACUCCGUGCC
rnacentral:rRNA from 1 species